rnacentral:rRNA from 1 species
GAGUUUGAUCCUGGCUCAGAACGACGCUGGCGGCAUGCCUAACACAUGCAGGUCGAACGAGACCUUCGGGUCUAGUGGCGCACGGGUGCGUAACGCGUGGGAAUCUGCCCUUUGCUUCGGAAUAACAGUUAGAAAUGACUGCUAAUACCGGAUGAUGUCGUAAGACCAAAGAUUUAUCGGCAAAGGAUGAGCCCGCGUAGGAUUAGGUAGUUGGUGGGGUAAAGGCCUACCAAGCCGACGAUCCUUAGCUGGUCUGAGAGGAUGAUCAGCCACACUGGGACUGAGACACGGCCCAGACGUCCUACGGGAGGCAGCAGUGGGGAAUAUUGGACAAUGGGCGAAAGCCUGAUCCAGCAAUGCCGCGUGAGUGAUGAAGGCCUUAGGGUUGUAAAGCUCUUUUACCAGGGAUGAUAAUGACAGUACCUGGAGAAUAAGCUCCGGCUAACUCCGUG